AUACGGAGGAUCCAAGCGUUAUCCGGAUUUAUUGGGUUUAAAGGGUGCGUAGGCGGCUUUUUAAGUCAGGGGUGAAAGACGGCAGCUCAACUGUCGCAGUGCCUUUGAUACUGAAGAGCUUGAAUACACUUGAAGUAGGCGGAAUGUGACAAGUAGCGGUGAAAUGCAUAGAUAUGUCACAGAACACCAAUUGCGAAGGCAGCUUACUAAAGUGUGAUUGACGCUGAGGCACGAAAGCGUGGGGAUCAAACAGGAUUAGAUACCCUGGUAGUCCACGCCCUAAACGAUGAACACUCGAUGUUGGCGAUAUACGGUCAGCGUCUAAGCGAAAGCGUUAAGUGUUCCACCUGGGGAGUACGCCCGCAAGGGUGAA
rnacentral:rRNA from 1 species